UCCUGAUUCUCCCAGGAUUCAUAGACUUCAUAGCUGAUGAGGUGGACCUGACCUCAGCUCUGACCCGGAAGAUCACGCUGAAGACGCCGCUGAUCUCCUCCCCCAUGGACACUGUGACAGAGGCUGACAUGGCCAUUGCCAUGGCUCUGAUGGGAGGUAUUGGUUUCAUUCACCACAACUGCACCCCAGAGUUCCAGGCCAACGAGGUGCGGAAGGUCAAGGCAAGUACCAGGCCUGUCCCCAGCAAG
rnacentral:lncRNA from 1 species